rnacentral:tRNA from 1 species
GCGGGCGUGGCGGAAUUGGUAGACGCGCCGGAUUUAGGAUCCGGUGGGCACUGCCCGUGGAGGUUCAAGUCCUCUCGCCCGCA